AGUGAACUACCAGGUUGUUGUGUUGUGGAACCUGAAGCUGGCCACUGUGUAGUGAACUACCAGAUGACAGAAUUCUGAAGAGUAUAAAGACAGAAGAAAUUAACUAGUUAAAGAACAAAUU
rnacentral:lncRNA from 1 species